AUGAUAGAACAUGUUAACAAGGCAGCCCUCCUCCUCAAAAAUUUGUCGGAAGCUCAAAACAUCAUCAAGUUCAUAUGCAAGAAACCCCCAAAAGAUGGUGAUCUUCAUUGUAUUUAUCGAGUAAAGCUUGAACCAAUAGCUUCCUAUUGCUGCUUUCAUAAUUGCAUUUGGACGACAUCUUCCUCGUGCCAUCAGGCCAGUAAAGGCGAUAUCGUACCGCAAAUUCCUCUGGCGAAAUCUUAUCUUUGCGCCUGUGGAGAGCGCAGGCCAUCAAGAUGGCUUUUGAUGGCAUCUUCAGCUUCCUCCAAGCUCCGGAAUGGCCCCCCCAGACAAGGAUACGUGUGGAAAGAACCCCCCAGAUCAAUUCUGAUGAAAAGCUCUAUAGGCCAACCAGAAGGUUUUCGAGCUGAGAUGAGUGGAGACGAGUGCGUUGAUGUUGGUGAGACGUCAUGA
rnacentral:rRNA from 1 species